rnacentral:lncRNA from 1 species
AGAUUCUCCUGCUGGCUGGGACUACAGAUACAUAUUGAAGGCAUACCUAAUAGAAGAAACUGUUCUGAAGUCUGGGUAUUCAACAAGAAAGAAAACACAAAUUUUAUGUUCUCAUGGAGCUUAUAUUCAAAUGGAGUGUGGGGGACUUGAAUAAGAAGGCAUCUAAAGUACCUAGUGUUCGCAGAUGCUAAGAUGAGAAGUAGUGCGAGAAAAAGAGAAAGGCUCAUGAGGGAGGGUAUUCCUCAGGGUCUGGUUAGGAAAACACCCAGCAAUUUUAGGAGUAGAAUGUUACAGAGGGAAUGGGUUAACAAGGUAUAGGAGGAACACAAAGGCUGCAAAAGUGAAAAGAGAAUGCAGAGAUAAUACAGAGAUAGUAGCUUCAGAAAGUUGCUGCCACUCCCUCCCAGGGCUGGGGGUACAAAGGCAACAGGAUCAAGUUGUUAGAGCCUAGAAACUUAGUAAAGAUUCUGGUGGCACUGGGAUACAGACCACUGAGGAGGUGGAGAUGGCCCUGCCUGCCAUUGUUUGCGGCUAUGGAACUGAAGUUAAAAGUCCUGGAGCAGCUGGGUGGCUGACCAACUGGGGAUGGUAUCUCUGAGGAACACGCUAAGACUGCUGCAGAAAGUUUGGAACACAUCUGUUUACCGUAACCACCUGCUGAGCUGGCCUGACACCAGCAGGACCAGCAAGCCAACAAAAAGGAAGAAAAUGUUCUCAGAAGCUCACCUACCUCCCAGUCUGCUUCCAGCACCCUAUUGGCAGAGUUUAUUAGGGAGUCAGCAGCAUAGGGGAAAUGCUGUCUACAGAGACCCAGGACCAGCAUUACAAAGUAGAGUGUGAAAGGGAGGGUUGAGACUGAGAAACAGAGCUUCAUAACCAGUGCUGGGAGGCUACUCUUUUAUAUAGGAGGCCCUUCAAGCCUACCCCACCCUGAUUGGGAGAAUGUCUGGGUCAUUUUGCUCUGUGCAUGAAAGUGCUUCAGGAGAAUCAUUCCCCACACCGUGAACUCCUUCAUGGUGUGGGGGAUAUUAUUUAUCUUAUCACAAAAUGUGUAUUAAGUGAAUGAGUGAAAUGAUACCUUUGAUAUAAUGCUUGUAGCAUUAGUGACUUUUUCAGCUUGGGUAAUUCUGAUUGCUAGUGUGUGUAUGUGUGUGUGUGUGUGUAUGUGUGUGUGUGUGUACUUGUUCGACAUUCAAUCUGAUUUUAAUAAAUAUUAACUAGGUGCCCACUAAGUGCAGAGCUCUGCAUCAGAUGCUACAUGAGACCUAAAAGAAUUAAACCUUGUCCCUAAAGGACUUAGAAUAUCGAUUCCUGUGUGUGCCAUCUGGUGCAUAUCACUAUUUUAAAAAGGUUUUUUUUUUUAAUUUCUUGAGGUCUUUUGAAUCCUAUUCUUCUCUGUUUUUAAAGAUAUUAGCGAUGCACGUCUCCUCCUACCCCACUUUAGUCCCCAGCUUUAUCUCUUUUAUGAACAAAAUUAAAUAGAUUUCCUCCCAGAAGGAAUCCUUUGGUAGAAAUUGUAUAAAGAGAGAAAUUAACUCUUUCAGACUCCCAGGGUGCUAUUGCUAAAUGUUCUAUAAAACUCCUUCCUCAUUACUACCUGGAGAGAGACUUGGCAUCCGGAAAAUAGCAUCCAAUAUGUAUUCACUUAUUUUCCUCCUUGUUAUGUGAUGGGGGAACAUGAGUGCAACACACUGAAGAUAAAGAAGGCUAAGGGAUGCUUGUUCAUAAAUAAGAAUAAGAUAAGGGUAUAGGCUGGGGGAUUUUAGUCUCCCAACACACUUUGAAGGUUUGGCUCCUUAGAUAGCCCGAGCAUGGAUUCCUGCCUUCUGCUCCUGCAGAAGGUGAAGGGGGUGGAGGCUGCUGUGACUAGGGCUAUGACACUAACUUUGGCUGUUAAUGGUGGCCUUCCUUAGCCUAUCUCCAAGAAUACGGAUGCUAGUACAAGUCAUGUGCUGUUAACCAAGUAUUUUGCCCCUUUCCUUCUGAAGUGGCACUCUAUUAAACAGUAAUAUUUUCUUCCCUUGUUGCUUAAAAUAAAUGUUUUUAAGGCCUAUGAAUACUUUGGUCAACAUUAGUGGUUUUUCAUACUUCCUUCUCUAGGUUUUUAGGGAGAAAUGCCUACACUGUUCUUUGAAUUGCUUCGUUAUUAUUAUUCCCCAGAUUUUCUCCAUGUAUUAAAGAUCCUAAGAAUUCUAAGCUCAGACUUUUGCCUCUGUAAAUAUAUUUUUUAAAUGGCUGCAUAAUAUUACCCAUGGACAUGAUUCCUAGCCAUAGCUCUACUUUGC